rnacentral:rRNA from 1 species
GAUGAACGCUGGCGGCGUGCCUAAUACAUGCAAGUCGAGCGAACGGACGAGAAGCUUGCUUUUCUGAUGUUAGCGGCGGACGGGUGAGUAACACGUGGAUAACCUACCUAUAAGACUGGGAUAACUUCGGGAAACCGGAGCUAAUACCGGAUAAUAUUUUGAACCGCAUGGUUCAAAAGUGAAAGACGGUCUUGCUGUCACUUAUAGAUGGAUCCUCGCUGCAUUAGCUAGUUGGUAAGGUAACGGCUUACCAAGGCAACGAUGCAUAGCCGACCUGAGAGGGUGAGCGGCCACCCCGGAACGGAGACAAGGUACAGACUCCUACGGGAGGCAGCAGUAGGGAAUCUUCCGCAAUGGGCGAAAGCCUGACGGAGCAACGCCGCGUGAGUGAUGAAGGUCUUCGGAUCGUAAAACUCUGUUAUUAGGGAAGAACAUAUGUGUAGGUAACUGUGCACAUCUUGACGGUACCUAAUCAGAAAGCCACGGCUAACUACGUG